GCGGGUUCAGCUCGACCCCCCGGGGCUGAACCGCCCGACGGCCCCCGCCAAUCCCCCUGGCGGGGUCGUCCUAC
rfam:Pseudonocardia sp. AL041005-10, complete genome.